rnacentral:rRNA from 1 species
GAUGAACGCUGGCGGCGUGCUUAACACAUGCAAGUCGAACGAAGCAUUUAAGACAGAUUACUUCGGUUUGAAGUCUUUUAUGACUGAGUGGCGGAUGGGUGAGUAACGCGUGGGUAACCUGCCUCAUACAGGGGGAUAGCAGCUGGAAACGGCUGGGUAAUACCGCAUAAGCGCACGGUAUCACAUGAUACAGUGUGAAAAACUCCGGUGGUAUGAGAUGGACCCGCGUCUGAUUAGCUAGUUGGUGAGGUAACGGCCCACCAAGGCGACGAUCAGUAGCCGACCUGAGAGGGUGACGGCCACAUUGGGACUGAGACA